rnacentral:SRP_RNA from 1 species
GGGAGAUCGGCGGCGGACGGACCCGUCGCCAACCCGGUCAGGUCCGGAAGGAAGCAGCCGUAACGAUUUCCGGUCCGGGUCGCCGUCCGGUCUCCCACC